rnacentral:lncRNA from 1 species
UGCAGCUGCAGCAGAAACUCCACCUAAAUGCUCCUGCUGCAGCAGCUCUGGUGCCUUUCCUCUCUCUAAUUGGCUAUUCAUUGUGAGAAGAAAACACAUCUUCAUCUGUUUGGAAUCAAUUUUGUUCAAUGGUCUGAUGAGAAGGGGAGAUAAUAGAGCAUUGUGUCAUUGCUGUUCUCAGUGGCUGGUUGAUUCUUCGGUCACUGGACUGAAAAAGACAAGAAAACAUAAGAUCCUGUUGAAAUGACACUGGUAAAGACUUCUCUCAUGAACUCCCACCCUCUCAUCUCUUCGCCCAUUCUUUUUCUCACUGUCCCUCUCAAACAGAAUGCAACUUUCACCUUGCCAGAUGAAAAUCUGUCGCCCUAUCCUUGUCUUUGUCCCCUCUUCUUCUACUGACCAACAAUACUCGCUUCAUGAGUCACCCCAUCACUGAUUUCUUCCUGAGCUUUGGGACUAUGUUGGGUAAACCAGGAUAGGUCCACAUUAGGAAAAUUCAGAGUCUCUUCCGUCCACAUGAACUGAGUCUGCACAAGAAUCACACUUCUUGACUUGAUGCAGUUCCCAGAGUUGCUCCUGAGCUAUGUCUUCUUUCUGGGCUGGGGGGCGUCCACCAGCCUUCUGCCACUUUUGCUAGUUUCUACUGCUCUGUUAUCACCAUUCUCCCUUAUAUGAAAGCUAUUACUAGGUCUAGAAAUGUAAGGCUUUUUACCUUGUCUCCAAUUAUCAUGGUACAUGCUGGUAAUAUUACCACUCUAAAGUCUGAAGAAGGAAACAUAUAAAAACUGAUUACCCACUCUCAGUAGGAAGAUUAUAACUAAUACUCCCCCAUCAAACAGUUUUAAGGACAGAAGAGAACAAAGCAUGUAAAGUGCUUAGCACAGAGCCUGGCAUAUAACAUGUGCUCAAUAAAUAUGUUUUGACUUUCUAGAGUUUGUAUUAUUAAAUGUUCUACUUAGAACAAACAGUAGUCUGUCAGAAGUGAAUUCUUACCAAAACACAACAACAACAACAAUCAACAACAACCACAAAAAUUAAUUCAGGACUCCAGGACAUAAUCAGGAGAAAGUUUGGAAAUUUCUUUUUCUUUUGAAUAUUUACUGACAGAUACCCAAAAAACAAAAUAUCAGAGCCCAAAACUGAAGCUUCUGCCCCUUAGCUUAAAAGAAAUUGUACCAACUCAUGAAGUAGGAAACAUUCUCUCUCUUUCCUGACACUCAGCAGCUGCCCUCAGUCUGAGUGAAACAAGAGUUCAUAGACUACUUCACCUAUCACCACCUAUUGAAAUGGCCUAGGUACCAUAACAGUCAGUUAUAGGAGCCACUAUGGUCCUUCAGGGCUAGAACUCUCAACAACACCAAGCUGCUGUUGUAUAUGAAGAUGAGUGGCAAGACUCCUUGUUUCCUACUGGACGGGUAUGUCCUUCCCUGAAAAGCCACUUCUUUAAAGUCACUCCCCCGAGCAAACUCAAACUUAGUAUCCCCAAGUCAGAAACAGAAAUAAACCCAGAAUAACUGUAUCUCAUUUUAGCAUAUUCAAGGCAGUAGGAACUUCCACGAGACUCAUCAAUUGGAGAAACCUCACAUCUUCAACUAUUGGCAGGAAAGGGACACCAAAGCCUAUGUCCGUGGAGCUGUAUAUUGAUUCCUUCACUAGUUAAUGAGGGAAGAAUGAAAGACACAAGAGUAGAUAUGUGAUUUUUAGACUAAGGCUCCAGCCAACUCUCACUGAGGCCUUGGCUUCAUUGAUCAACCAAGAAAAUGGAAGGCAUCUCUCUAUUAAGUCAGGUUGCGAAGGGACAACUAGAUGAUUAGAAAGCUUGUUUAGGCUGUGAUUUUAGUGCCUAAUUGCUAGUAAGAAAGGAAAAAGCACAGCCUCUGAAAGCAGCAGCUGGAGCAGCAAAGAAGGAGGAGGGAAAGGAAGAGAGAGAAGCAGAGAAAAAAACAGCAACAGCAGCAAAAUCCUGAAAGUUACAAAGGCAUAUCUAAGCCAUCCAGACCAGCAGCCAUGGGCCUGGCUCCCAGAACAUCAUUUGCUUACUCACAUAUGCUCCAGGAUCUUUCUCCUCAAGGUACACUGGCCUCUCCUGGAAGCAAAUGGAUCAAAAAAACAGAUAUGAAACUGAAACACUCGAAAGCCCACCAGAAUGCAAAUCCACUUACAAACAAAGAUAUCUGAAACACAGAGAAUGUAAACACCUUCUCACCAGUGGAUCUGAUGUGGAUCAGAGAUGACUGAUUCUGGAAGACCCAUCCUCUUUCUUCCCACAGCACAAGUGCAAAUCCAGAACAGUCUGGCCAGGGGGACAAAUUGAAUGAUUUCCUGCCAUUACUGAUGAGCAACUGAGGCAAUAGAAUCAUUUGUACUUUAAAGUGUCCCAGGGAGCAAACAAGACAUUUGUGAAACUGCUCAAUGGGCCUUUGAUGGGAAAGUAAUUAAAGUCACUGGCAGAAUCAUCCCCAUGUUUGAGUCUGAUAACAAUGUCACUGACAGAAAUCUUUGAGGAAGGGUGGGAUUAGGAGAUAAACUACAUCUAUAUCUUAUAUCAUCCUACUGACAGCCCCCUUUUUGAUUAAUAAUAUUUAAUCCAGAACCACACACACACAAUUUUAACUGCUUCCUCUUUUUUGUAGGAAAUGAAGACACAUCAUCUACUAUGCUGAUCAUGUGACAAAGAAAUAUAUCACAAUUUCUUUCCUAUAACAUAGUUUACUUAGUUAGAUUUACUUAAUUCUCUUUGUUAGUGCUGACUUUUGAGAUGGCAGCAAAUUACAUCUCUUAAAUAUCCUGUUAUGGCAACAAAUAUAAUGAAAUAGUUU